UUGCCUAGUAACGGCGAGUGAAGCGGCAACAGCUCAAAUUUGAAAUCUGGCCCUUGGGUCCGAGUUGUAAUUUGUAGAGGAUGUUUUUGGUGCGGUAUCUUCCGAGUUCCUUGGAACAGGACGCCUUAGAGGGUGAGAGCCCCGUACGGUUGAAUACCUAGCCUCUGUAAAACUCCUUCGACGAGUCGAGUAGUUUGGGAAUGCUGCUCUAAAUGGGAGGUAAAUUUCUUCUAAAGCUAAAUACUGGCCAGAGACCGAUAGCGCACAAGUAGAGUGAUCGAAAGAUGAAAAGCACUUUGAAAAGAGGGUUAAAUAGCACGUGAAAUUGUUGAAAGGGAAGGAUUUAUGACCAGACUUUUUCUGGGCGGAUCAUCCGGUGUUCUCACCGGUGCACUUCGCUCAGUUUAGGCCAGCAUCGAUUUUCGGUGGGGGAUAAAAGCUUUAGGAAUGUGGCUCCUCCGGGAGUGUUAUAGCCUAUUGUAUAAUACCCUACUGGGGAUCGAGGUACGCGCUUCUGCAAGGAUGCUGGCGUAAUGGUUAUCAAUCACCCGUCUUGAAACACGGACCAAGGAGUCGAACAUUUGUGCAAGUGUUUGGGUGUUAAACCCUCACGCGUAAUGAAAGUGAACGGAGGUGAGAGCCCUUACGGGUGCAUCAUCGACCGAUCCUGAUGUUUUCGGAUGGAUUUGAGUAAGAGCAUAACUGUUCGGACCCGAAAGAUGGUGAACUAUGCGUGGAUAGGGUGAAGCCAGAGGAAACUCUGGUGGAGGCUCGCAGCGGGUUCUGACGUGCAAAUCGAUCGUCAAAUCUGCGCAUGGGGGGCGAAAGACUAAUCGAACCAUCUAGUAGCUGGGUACCGCCGAA
rnacentral:rRNA from 1 species